rnacentral:rRNA from 1 species
UCCUCCAAGGCUAAAUACUCCUGACUGACCGAUAGUGAACCAGUACCGUGAGGGAAAGGCGAAAAGAACCCCGGCGAGGGGAGUGAAAAAGAACCUGAAACCGUGUACGUACAAGCAGUAGGAGCCCCACCACCAAAGCGUUUCGCUUUGCGUGGUGCGCAAAAUGCGUAACGACAGCAUGAUGGACGGUUAACGGAGCGUAAGCGACGUUCAACAUCCAGAAUCAGGCAGUGGAGCGUUUUGGGGUGGGGUGACUGCGUACCUUUUGUAUAAUGGGUCAGCGACUUAUAUUCUGUAGCAAGGUUAACCGUAUAGGGGAGCCGCAGGGAAACCGAGUCUUAACUGGGCGUUAAGUUGCAGGGUAUAGACCCGAAA